rfam:Schistosoma rodhaini strain Burundi genome assembly, scaffold: SROB_scaffold0003587
AUCCGAUUGACGAGUUCCAAAUAGAACGAAACGCGCGUCCUAAAU